rnacentral:misc_RNA from 1 species
AAACUUUGUUUCUUAUCAUGUAUUAUCCACACUUCAUACACAAUAGCAACAAUGAGGGAAAUAACCUCUAGUGUAUAUCCACUCAUUUCACGAAAAUUCAUGCCAACAAAUAUUGAUUAAAGUAAAGUACCUGUAUAUGAAAUGCUAAUCCCAAAGUUCUCCUACUACUAUAUGUAAUUCAUGUCUGAUUUUAUAAAAUAUUUUCUCAAUUUGAUUGAUUUAAUAAAAAAAAUGACCUAACUUGGAUAUGGAAUCAUAACUUUUUACACUUUAAAAUUGAUCUUUCCUCUGUAUUUUUCAAGAAUAAAAAAAUAUUGUGAAAUGGAGUUUGAAUACUUUUGGGAACAAUAACAAUAAUUGUUGAUAUGUAUUUAAUCUGCAAAUGAUGUGUAAUAUUUUGUAGUAACACUUUUUAAAUUUGGUCAUUUCAAAUGAAUGAGUUUUGAUAUAACUAUAAAAAACGAUCCAUCAUGGUGGUU